CAAGAUGUAGCUUAACCAAAGCACCUGGCUUACACCCGGAAGA
rnacentral:tRNA from 1 species